GACGAACGCUGGCGGCGUGCUUAACACAUGCAAGUCGAACGGAAAGGCCCUGCUUUUGUGGGGUGCUCGAGUGGCGAACGGGGGAGUAACACGUGAGUAACAUGCCCUUGACUUUGGGAUAACUUCAGGAAAAUGGGGCGAAUACCGGAUAGGAGCACCUGAUGCACGGUGGGGGUGGGAGAGUUUCGGCGGUGGGGGAUGGACUCGCGGCUUAUCAGCUUGUUGGUGGGGUAGUGGCUUACCAAGGCAUUGACGGGUAGCCGGCCUGCGAGGGUGACCGGCCACAUUGGGACUGAGAUACGGCCCAGACUCCUACGGGAGGCAGCAGUGGGGAAUAUUGCACGAUGGGCGGAAGCCUGAUGCAGCAACGCCGCGUGCGGGAUGACGGCCUUCGGGUUGUAAACCGCUUUCGCCUGUGACGAAGCGUGAGUGACGGUAAUGGGUAAAGAAGCACCGGCUAACUACGUG
rnacentral:rRNA from 1 species